AGGCUUUGAUCCUGGCUCAGGACUAACGCUGGCGGCGUGCCUAACACAUGCAAGUCGAACGAGUUGUUUAUAGUAGCAAUAUUGUAAACGGCGAGUGGCGAACGGGUGAGUAACACGUAGAUAAUCUGCCUUUCAGACGGGGACAACUCAGGGAAACUUGUGCUAAUACCCGAUGAGACUACGGGAGGGGACUUCUGUAGCCAAAGGUGGGGGUAACCUCACGCUGAGAGAUGAGUCUGCGUCCUAUCAGCUAGUUGGUGGGGUAAAAGCCUACCAAGGCGAAGACGGGUAGCCGGCCUGAGAGGGUGAACGGCCACACUGGGACUGAGACACGGCCCAGACUCCUACGGGAGGCAGCAGUGAGGAAUUUUCCGCAAUGGGCGCAAGCCUGACGGAGCGACGCCGCGUGAGGGAUGACGGCCUUCGGGUUGUAAACCUCUUUUAUAAGGGAAAAAGGUUACCGUGCUAAUACCACGGAUGAUUUGAUGGUACCUUUUGAAUAAGCCCCGGCGU
rnacentral:rRNA from 1 species